AUGCCGACCUCCCUCGCCCCCAACCCAACCCCCGCCGGCGACCUUCGUCUCCCCCAGCCCAAUCCUACCCCGCUCUCCUCUCUCCCUAUGCCCCUACCUUCCUCCCUCCUUGACGGAGCCCGAAACUCUAGCUCAUCUGUUCCAUGGUUCCGGCCAUGGAUGGGGAGACCACGGACGCGGCAAUCGCCGUCCCACCCCGCACCUAUUCCGGCGAUGACGAUGCCGAAUCCGCAUCAGCAGCAGCCGAUCUGCACCCAACCACGACGGCUGCAGCUCGAUGGAGGAUGUAGGCUAGCCGCAUCGCUGAGUCCAACCAGGGCGUGGCACACCUGGAACCUCGCUGCCGCGGUGGUGCAGAACCAGCGUCGUGGCGGGCAACAACAGCAGCAGAGUGAAGAACUACAAUCUGAAGAAAGCAAGCAUCAACAAGGCUGA
rnacentral:rRNA from 1 species